ACUCCGGGAAACCGGGGCUAAUACCGGAUGCUUGAUUGAACCGCAUGGUUCAAUUAUAAAAGGUGGCUUUUAGCUACCACUUACAGAUGGACCCGCGGCGCAUUAGCUAGUUGGUGAGGUAACGGCUCACCAAGGCAACGAUGCGUGCCGACCUGAGAGGGUGAUCGGCCACACUGGGACUGAGACACGGCCCAGACUCCUACGGGAGGCAGCAGUAGGGAAUCUUCCGCAAUGGACGAAAGUCUGACGGAGCAACGCCGCGUGAGUGAUGAAGGUUUUCGGAUCGUAAAACUCUGUUGUUAGGGAAGAACAAGUACCGUUCAAAUGGGGCGGUACCUUGACGGUACCUAACCAAAAAGCCACGGCUAACUACGUGCCAGCAACCGCGGUAAUACGUAGGUGGCAAGCGUUGUCCGGAAUUAUGGGGCGUAAAGCGCGCGCAGGCGGUUUCUUAAGUCUGAUGUGAAAGCCCCCGGCUCAACCGGGGAGGGUCAUUGGAAACUGGGGAACUUGAGUGCAUAAGAGGAGAGUGCAAUUCCACGUGUAGCGGUGAAAUGCGUAGAGAUGUGCAGGAACACCAUUGGCGAAUGCGACUCUUCUGGUCUGUACCUGACGCUGAGGCGCGAAAGCGUGGGAAGCGAACAGGAUUAGAU
rnacentral:rRNA from 1 species